CAGCAGCCGCGGGAAUACGAAGGGGGCUAGCGUUGUUCGGAUUUACUGGGCGUAAAGCGCACGUAGGCGGAACGAUCAGUCAGGGGUGAAAUCCCAGAGCUCAACUCUGGAACUGCCUUUGAUACUGUCGAUCUGGAGUAUGGAAGAGGUGAGUGGAAUUCCGAGUGUAGAGGCGAAAUUCGUAGAUAUUCGGAGGAACACCAGUGGCGAAGGCGGCUCACUGGUCCAUUACUGACGCUGAGGUGCGAAAGCGUGGGGAGCGAACAGGAUUAGAUACCCCUGUAGUCCCUGUCUCUUAUAC
rnacentral:rRNA from 1 species